AAGGAUUUAAGUUAAUUAAACUAGUAACCUUCAAAGUUACCAAUAAGAACAGAUUCUUAGGCCUUA
rnacentral:tRNA from 1 species